UACGGGGGGAGCAAGCGUUGUUCGGAUUUACUGGGCGUAAAGGGCGCGUAGGCGGUCGUGACAAGUCACUUGUGAAAUCUCCGGGCUUAACUCGGAACGGUCAAGUGAUACUGUCGGACUAGAGUACAGAAGGGGCAACUGGAAUUCUCGGUGUAGCGGUGAAAUGCGUAGAUAUCGAGAGGAACACCUGCGGCGAAGGCGGGUUGCUGGGCUGAUACUGACGUGAGGCGCGAAAGCCAGGGGAGUGAACGGG
rnacentral:rRNA from 1 species